AGGUGUGGAACCCUUCUCCUUCAUGGUUCUAUGUGCAUUCCUCCUUAAGCUGCAUGGUCAGUUGCAGAAGGCGUCCUUGCCUUAUAAAGACGGACCAGUCCUUGGCCAAAGGUGUAUAAUAGCUGUGCUCCCUACAAGAAUCUCCAAACAAACUCUCUGAAGAUUUUAAUAUAUUUUUUAAGAAUAUAAGGCAGUUCAUGGAAACUACCAUCAUGUUUCCUUCUUUGGUACUGAGAAUCUGA
rnacentral:snRNA from 1 species